AACGAACGCUGGCGGCAUGCCUAACACAUGCAAGUCGAGCGCCGUAGCAAUACGGAGCGGCGCACGGGUGAGUAACGCGUGGGAACCUGCCCAGAGGUUCGGGACAACCGCGGGAAACUGCGGCUGAUACCGGAUGAUACCUGAGGGUCAAAGAUUUAUCGCCUUUGGAGGGGCCCGCGUCAGAUUAGGUAGUUGGUGGGGUAACGGCCUACCAAGCCUGUGAUCUGUAGCUGGUCUGAGAGGAUGACCAGCACCACUGGGACUGAGACACGGCCCAGACUCCUACGGGAGGCAGCAGUGGGGAGGAUUGGACAAUGGGGGCAACCCUGAUCCAGCAAUGCCGCGUGGGUGAUGAAGGCCUUCGGGUUGUAAAGCCCUUUCGGCGGGGACGAUGAUGACGGUACCCGCAGAAGAAGCCCCGGCUAACUUCGUGCCAGCCGCCGCCGUAAAAC
rnacentral:rRNA from 1 species